rnacentral:rRNA from 1 species
GAUGAACGCUGGCGGCGUGCCUAAUACAUGCAAGUCGAGCGAACGGACGAGAAGCUUGCUUCUCUGAUGUUAGCGGCGGACGGGUGAGUAACACGUGGAUAACCUACCUAUAAGACUGGGAUAACUUCGGGAAACCGGAGCUAAUACCGGAUAAUAUUUUGAACCGCAUGGUUCAAAAGUGAAAGACGGUCUUGCUGUCACUUAUAGAUGGAUCCGCGCGGCAUUAGCUAGUUGGUAAGGUAACGGCUUACCAAGGCAACGAUGCAUAGCCGACCUGAGAGGGUGAUCGGCCACCCUGGAACUGAGACACGGUCCAGACUCCUACGGGAGGCAGCAGUAGGGAAUCUUCCGCAAUGGGCGAAAGCCUGACGGAGCAACGCCGCGUGAGUGAUGAAGGUCUUCGGAUCGUAAAACUCUGUUAUUAGGGAAGAACAUAUGUGUAAGUAACUGUGCACAUCUUGACGGUACCUAAUCAGAAAGCCACGGCUAACUACGUG